rnacentral:tRNA from 1 species
UGCCUGGGUGGCGGAACUGGUAGACGCACAGGACUUAAAAUCCUGCGGGUGGUGACACCCGNGGGCUCAUAACCCGAAGGUCGCAGGUUCAAGUCCUGUCCCCGCAACCA